UACGGAGGGGGCAAGCGUUAUCCGGAUUCACUGGGUUUAAAGGGUGCGUAGGCGGGCAGGUAAGUCAGUGGGGAAAUCUCCGGGCUUAACCCGGAAACUGCCGUUGAUACUAUCUGUCUUGAAUAUCGUGGAGGUAAGCGGAAUAUGUCAUGUAGCGGUGAAAUGCUUAGAUAUGACAUAGAACACCCAUUGCGAAGGCAGCUUACUACACGAUCAUUGACGCUGAGGCACGAAAGCGUGGGGAGCAAACAGG
rnacentral:rRNA from 1 species